rnacentral:rRNA from 1 species
UGGUGGAGCGAUUUGUCUGGUCAAUUCCGAUAACGAACAAGACUCUAGCCUACUAUAUAGUUCGGGGACCCCCACAAAGGGGCCCCGCUUCAACUUCUUAGAGGGACAGGUGGCGUUUAGCCACACGAGAUUGAGCAAUAACA